rnacentral:rRNA from 1 species
CCUACGGGAGGCAGCAGUGAGGAAUAUUGGUCAAUGGGCGAGAGCCUGAACCAGCCAAGUCGCGUGAAGGAUGACGGUCCUACGGUUUGUAACCCUCUUUUGUCGGGGAGCAAUUGCGGGCACGCGUGGGCUGAGCGCGAGUACCCGCAGAAUAAGCAUCGGCUAACUCCGUGCCAGCAGCCGCGGUACUACGGAGGAUCCGAGCGUUAUCCGGCUUUAUUGGGGUUAAAGGGUGGGUAGGCGGGAUUGUAAGUCAGCUGUGAAAGUUUAGGGCUUAACCGUAGUCGUGCAGUUGAAACUGAUAGUCUUGAGUGUGCGAGAGGUAGGCGGAAUUCGUGGUGUAGCGGUGAAAUGCUUAGAGAUCACGAAGAACUCCGAUUGCGAAGGCAGCAUACUGGAGCCCAACUGACGCUGAAGCACGAAAGUGUGGGUAGCAAACAGGAUUAGAUACCCGUGUAGUC